CCAAGGAGUCUAACAUGUGCGCGAGUCAUUGGGUCUUGUUCAGGCCCAAAGGCGGAAUGAAAGUGAAGGCCGAUUCGGUCGGCUGCGUUGGGAUCCCGUCCUCUCGAGGGCGGGCGCACCAACGGCCCGUCCCGAUCGCCGCGUCGAUGGGGCGGAGUGAGAGCGUACACGUUGGGACCCGAAAGAUGGUGAACUAUGCCUGGGCAGGACGAAGCCAGAGGAAACUCUGGUGGAGGUCCGCAGCGAUUCUGACGUGCAAAUCGAUCGUCAGACCUGGGUAUAGGGGCGAAAGACUAAUCGAACCAUCUAGUAGCUGGUUCCCUCCGAAGUUUCCCUCAGGAUAGCUGGCGCUCGGAGGAGGCAUUCUCAUCCGGUAAAGCGAAUGAUUAGAGGCCUUGGGGCCGAAACGACCUCAACCUAUUCUCAAACUUUAAAUGGGUGAGAAGUCCGGCUUGCUCGACUGAAGCCCGGACGAGAGGAUGCGAGUGCCCAGUGGGCCACUUUUGGUAAGCAGAACUG
rnacentral:rRNA from 1 species